rnacentral:rRNA from 1 species
ACUUAAAUUGAAGAGUUUGAUCAUGGCUCAGAUUGAACGCUGGCGGCAGGCCUAACACAUGCAAGUCGAGCGGUAGCACAGAGAGCUUGCUCUCGGGUGACGAGCGGCGGACGGGUGAGUAAUGUCUGGGAAACUGCCUGAUGGAGGGGGAUAACUACUGGAAACGGUAGCUAAUACCGCAUAAUGUCGCAAGACCA